UAGGGAAUUUUGCGCAAUGGGGGGAACCCUGACGCAGCGACGCCGCGUGGGUGAAGAAGGCCUUCGGGUCGUAAAGCCUUGUCAAGAGGGACGAAAAGAUGACGGUACCUCUAGAGGAAGCCCCGGCUAACUACGUGCCAGCAGCCGCGGUAAUACGUAGGGGGCUAGCGUUGUCCGGAAUUACUGGGCGUAAAGGGCGCGCAGGCGGCUGGAUAAGUCACACGUGAAAUGCACUGGCUUAACCAGUGAAGGUCGUGUGAAACUGUCUGGCUUGAGUGCAGUAGAGGAAAGUGGAAUUCCUAGUGUAGCGGUGAUAUGCGUAGAUAUUAGGAGGAACACCAGUGGCGAAGGCGGCUUUCUGGGCUGCAACUGACGCUGAGGCGCGAAAGCUGGGGGAGCGAACGGG
rnacentral:rRNA from 1 species